UUAGAUGAAUUAAAGAUGAAAGUGAAGUAAGGUGGACUUAGACCCAUGAAAGAAGGAGAAAAAUGAUGAAAAGAAGGGUCAAGUGAGUUGUUGAGCGCCAGAAUGGUCCACUGAGCGCUCAGAGUGAUUAGAGGGAAACCGCUCAACGGCAAAACUGACCGCUGAGCGGUCAAAGCGGCAAGAGGCAAACCGUUGAGCAGUGAAUUUAGGCACCUGGGCG
rnacentral:lncRNA from 1 species